rnacentral:rRNA from 1 species
GCAAGUCGAACGAACUCUUCGGAGUUAGUGGCGCACGGGUGCGUAACGCGUGGGAAUCUGCCCUUGGGUACGGAAUAACUCAGAGAAAUUUGUGCUAAUACCGUAUAAUGUCUUCGGACCAAAGAUUUAUCGCCCAAGGAUGAGCCCGCGUAAGAUUAGCUAGUUGGUGGGGUAAAAGCCUACCAAGGCGACGAUCUUUAGCUGGUCUGAGAGGAUGAUCAGCCACACUGGGACUGAGACACGGCCCAGACUCCUACGGGAGGCAGCAGUGGGGAAUAUUGGACAAUGGGCGAAAGCCUGAUCCAGCAAUGCCGCGUGAGUGAUGAAGGCCUUAGGGUUGUAAAGCUCUUUUACCCGGGAUGAUAAUGACAGUACCGGGAGAAUAAGCUCCGGCUAACUCCGUGCCAGCAGCCGCGGUAAUACGGAGGGAGCUAGCGUUGUUCGGAAUUACUGGGCGUAAAGCGCGCGUAGGCGGUCUUUUAAGUCAGAGGUGAAAGCCCGGGGCUCAACCCCGGAAUAGCCUUUGAAACUGGAAGACUUGAAUCUUGGAGAGGUCAGUGGAAUUCCGAGU